AUGAACCGUUAUAACCGGCGAUUUCCGAAUGGGGAAACCCAGUGUGAUUCGUCACACUAUCAUUAACUGAAUCCAUAGGUUAAUGAGGCGAACCGGGGGAACUGAAACAUCUAAGUACCCCGAGGAAAAGAAAUCAACCGAGAUUCCCCCAGUAGCGGCGAGCGAACGGGGAGGAGCCCAGAGCCUGAAUCAGCAUGUGUGUUAGUGGAAGCGUCUGGAAAGGCGCGCGAUACAGGGUGACAGCCCCGUACACAAAAGCGCAUGUGCUGUGAGCUCGAUGAGUAGGGCGGGACACGUGGUAUCCUGUCUGAAUAUGGGGGGACCAUCCUCCAAGGCUAAAUACUCCUGACUGACCGAUAGUGAACCAGUACCGUGAGGGAAAGGCGAAAAGAACCCCGGCGAGGGGAGUGAAAAAGAACCUGAAACCGUGUACGUACAAGCAGUGGGAGCACAGGUUUACCUGUGUGACUGCGUACCUUUUGUAUAAUGGGUCAGCGACUUAUAUUCUGUAGCAAGGUUAACCGAAUAGGGGAGCCGGAGGGAAACCGAGUCUUAAUUGGGCGUUAAGUUGCAGGGUAUAGACCCGAAACCCGGUGAUCUAGCCAUGGGCAGGUUGAAGGUUGGGUAACACUAACUGGAGGACCGAACCGACUAAUGUUGAAAAAUUAGCGGAUGACCUGUGGCUGGGGGUGAAAGGCCAAUCAAACCGGGAGAUAGCUGGUUCUCCCCGAAAGCUAUUUAGGUAGCGCCUCGUGAA
rnacentral:rRNA from 1 species